CACAGUCCAGCGACGGCUGCCUAACAGUCACUUGGCUGGAGAGAGUCAGCUGCGAUCAUGCUGUGCCGCUUUCCCAGGCCUCGAGGCCGCAGCAACAGGACCCUGUGCAGGGAAAGGACUUGGGCGUGAGUGAGAGGAUGGGUGGCUAAGUCCUCAUGCUUCAGGCCACUCACCAGGAACUGCCUGGCCAUCAGGGGCAGCACAGGGCGGGUCUCACCAGACCCAGAGACCUGGGGACCUGAGAUGAGCGGGAGCCCAGGGCAGAUCUCCCUGGACCUGGACCCCAGACACUUGGGGCCACCGAGUCCAGGACAGGUCCAGUCAGGCCCGGCCACCGCUAGUGGUCUGGGCUUCAGCCUCCAGCCCUCCUGAUGGCCUGGGUGGGCCCCAGUUCCAUGUCUCCCCUCUGUUCCAUCACAG
rnacentral:lncRNA from 1 species